rnacentral:rRNA from 1 species
AGAGUUUGAUCCUGGCUCAGGACGAACGCUGGCGGCGUGCUUAACACAUGCAAGUCGAACGGGCCCGCCCCUUUGGGGGUGGGUUGAGUGGCGAACGGGUGAGUAUCACGUGAGUAACCUGCCCCCUGCUCCUGGAUAACUGCUUGAAAGGGCGGCUAAUACGGGGUGUGCCGGCUGGUCCGCAUGGGCCUGGUCGGGAUAGUUUCAUCUUCGGGUGUUUCGGUGGGGGAUGGGCUCGCGGCCUAUCAGCUUGUUGGUGGGGUGAUGGCCCACCAAGGCGGUGACGGGUAGCCGGCCUGAGAGGGUGGGCGGCCACACUGGGACUGAGACACGGCCCAGACUCCUGCGGGAGGCAGCAGUGGGGGGUAUUGCACAAUGGGCGGAAGCCUGAUGCAGCGACGUCGCGUGAGGGAUGGAGGCCUUCGGGUUGUGAACCUCUUUCUCCGGUGGUGAAGGCCCUGUCCGUUGCGGCGGGGUUGACGGUAGCCGGGUAUGAAGCGCCGGCUAACUACGUGCCAGCAGCCGCGGUAAUACGUAGGGCGCGAGCGUUGUCCGGAAUUAUUGGGCGUAAAGGGCUUGUAGGCGGCUGGUCGCGUCUGCCGUGAAAUUCUCCGGCUCAACCGGGGGCUUGCGGUGGGUACGGGCCGGCUGGAGUGCGGUAGGGGAGGCUGGAACUCCUGGUGUAGCGGUGGAAUGCGCAGAUAUCAGGAGGAACACCGGUGGCGAAGGCGGGUCUCUGGGCCGUUACUGACGCUGAGGAGCGAAAGCGUGGGGAGCGAACAGGAUUAGAUACCCUGGUAGUCCACGC